rnacentral:rRNA from 1 species
AUUCGCCCUUGAGUUUGAUCAUGGCCAGGAUGACCCCUAGCGGCGUGCCUAACACAUGCAAGUCGAACGUGAACCUGACUUCGGUUGGCGGAAAGUGGCGGACGGGUGAGUAACACGUAAGUAACCUGCCUCAGAGUGGGGGAUAACCAUUAGAAAUGAUGGCUAAUACCGCAUGGUUUUGCGAUGACGGGAGUGAUUGCAAAUAAAGCUCAGGCGCUUUGAGAGGGGCUUGCGUCCGAUUAGCUAGUUGGUGGGGUAAAAGCCUACCAAGGCGAUGAUCGGUAGCUGGUCUGAGAGGACGAUCAGCCACACGGGAACUGAGACACGGUCCCGACUCCUACGGGGGGCAGCAGUGAGGAAUAUUCGUCAAUGGGGGCAACCCUGAACGAGCAACGCCGCGUGGAGGAAGAAGGCCCUUGGGUUGUAAACUCCUUUUCUGUGGGAAGAGACAGGACGGUACCACAGGAAUAAGUCACGGCUAACUACGUGCCAGCAGCGCGGUAA